rnacentral:rRNA from 1 species
UACGUAGGGUGCAAGCGUUGUCCGGAAUUAUUGGGCGUAAAGAGCUUGUAGGCGGUUUGUCGCGUCUGCUGUGAAAUUUCGGGGCUCAACCCCGAACUUGCAGUGGGUACGGGCAGACUAGAGUAAGGUAGGGGUAGAGGGAAUUCCUGGUGUAGCGGUGGAAUGCGCAGAUAUCAGGAGGAACACCGGUGGCGAAGGCGGGUCUCUGGGCAGUAACUGACGCUGAGGAGCGAAAGCGUGGGGAGCGAACAGG